GUCAGGUGUUCAUACUGUGUGUGAUACUGUCAAGUAAAGUGUUACCGUUUUUUCUUUCCAGCUUAUUAAAACAAAACCCUGCAGAAGAAAUGCAAAGAAGCCCAGAGAAAGAAACCUCCAUGAAUCCGCAAUCGAUCUCCGCCAUCCUAUUUCUCUCAGGAAUGGAUUUCCCCUCCGUAACCAGCACACAAUGGAUUUCCAAGAUGGUGGGUCCCCAGUGGUCUCGGCUCCACAGUGAUGAUGGCCACCAGGCUUUUGUAAGAAAAUCCACAAAGACUGGCCCACGACUCAUCUCACACAGCCGUACUGCUGAGGGAGGAGAUGUGACAGUGUCAUUGCCGAGGCCCCGAGGACAGCUGUGAAGAGGAUUAGCGGGGGCAGAUCCAGCCGGCUAGCACUUCUCUAACAGGUGCUGCUAGUCACAUCCACCAGGGAGCAGCGGCCGAGAUGAACGGCAAACAGACAGCCAGCCCUCCGGUGCCUGUGAUACUACAGCGUGCCCCAUGAGAGGCCCACGGUACUGUAGCCAGCCAAUCAGGAGAUGCCAAGGCAGAGGUGCCCAUCAAUCUGCCCUGACGGGCACGGCAUCCCAUCCCUCAUCCGCCAUUUCCACACCGUCAUCACAAA